UCUCCGUAGGUGAACCUGCGGAGGGAUCAUUACAGAGUUCAUGCCCUUCCGGGUAGAUCCCCCACCCUGUGUUAUCGUCACCUUUGUGGCUUUGGCGGGCCGCCCGGGCCUUGGCCCGCCUACCGGCUCCGGCCGGUACGCACCCGCCAGAGGACCCUAAACUCUUGAAUAUCAGUGUCCUCUGGGUACUAUGUAAUAGUUAAAACUUUCAACAACGGAUCUCUUGGUUCUG
rnacentral:misc_RNA from 1 species